AGAGCAUAGAGGUGAAAGUCCAGCAUCCAAGGAGAAGCUCAUUCAGAAAGCAAGAUGUAUUAUUUUACUUCCUGCACAGAUGACCAUCUCCUGAACUAAUGCUUGCAAUUUCAGUGCCACACCAAGGAUAUUCUUUGGUUUUAGGCAAGGACUAUUUGCUAUGAAUUAUGUUGUUAUUGUUUAUUUGUGCUACAGAUGAAAUAACGUAUUUCCAUCAGAAUUUAAACAGGUGUGAAGAUGCAAGGAAGGAACACCAGCGGUGAUCUGCUCUUCCAGGAACCCUCUAGCUGAAGAAACCCAAUGGAGUGUUUGGAACAAUUUAAAUAUUUCACAAUCAGAUACUAAAUCUGCUGCUUUCCCCAAGAGAUGCUUGAGGAGAAUGCCCUGUCCUUGACUGGCUGGUGACACUGAGCUGGCUGCUUCAUUAAUCGCAGUGCCGCCGGGCAGGGUGUCGUAAAGCCACUGCUCAGCAUUUGUAAGUGGGGACUGCAUAUUUAUACUCAGCGUUGUGCUGUGCCAUUAAUUUACCAGAACACAAACUGAAGUGGUAGUUAUUAGCAGUGUCCAUUUAUUAUAGCCAUUUUAUUUUUCAUGUCCUUUAAACAUUAAUCGCUCUUUUUAAUAGGUUAGAGUUGGUUGAACAGAUGUGAAAUAAAUGAUAUAGGUCUGUGAUCAGUAAAUGCAUUUUAACUUAUUUUCCUCCUUUUUUUUUUUAAUAUCCCACCUAUGCAAACACACCGUUUAAGAUUAUUCCAAGUGCCUAAUAGACUCCCAUGGCAAAGUGUCACCAACAGUUGUUGCUGACUUUAAAAUCAAUCAGUGGUGUGAUGUGUCUGGCACAGAGUGGUUCAGCAGUGGGUCGGCUAUGGUGGGAAGCACAGGGAGGGAAAUGCUGCUCGUUGUAGCUGUCAUACACAGCCACGUUGCAUGGGGCAGGAAACCACUCACUGAGGACUCUUUGUGGGAUGGAAACCUGUUUGGAUCUGUAUUGAAGUUGGCUGUGGGUAAUGACAUUCAGUUGGUCAGAUGGCAGUUACUUCUGAAGCUUACAUGACAGUAAAUAAUUUAAUUCCCUUAAUGCUGUUGUAUUACCUAAUCAGAAGAAAAAGUAGGCAAUCAAACAUUUGGAUAGCAACUCACCAUCCCUGAUAACCUUAAGUAAUCACGUGUUAUCUGGAGGAAUUCUUGGAGCAGUCAUUGCAAGCAACCUUCAAUAACAAAAUUAAUGGUUGUGGUUAUGGCCUAAAUUCUUGAUUUCUGUAUUUUCUCACUUCUCUUUAACUGAUUUGCGUUCUGUGUGUGCAGGGGGGAGGGGUGGGAUGCCACUCAAAUUUAUCAUAAUGUGUCUUUCCAAGAAAGCACCAAAAAAAAAAAAAUGCUGAAGUGGGUUCUGAAAGCGUCUGCUGCGAUACUUUGUGAGUCAGGAAGCUCUUGACCGUUUGAUUCUGUUAUGUACAAAUGCUUGGGUCACUGUGUCCUCAUGUGACGCAGGAGUGUCACUGUGCUCCUGGAGCAGGGCUGUCUUUGUAGAUGCACAUAGGAAUUGACCUACUCAGGGCCUUGUAAACAGAGUUCAGUCCCAAAAGCGAAGCCUUAAAGACUCCAGCAUUCCUCCAUAACCAAUUUCAGACCCUGGAGGAUGAGAAAAUAACCGUGUAGGCAAAAGAUUACCAAGCAAUUAUUUCUAAUUGUUUCUAUUUCUGCCUGCUUAGAAAACCAGGAAACAGGAUUUAGUUAUGAACAAUUGCUUUAAUAAAGUCAAAUGAAGUUUCACCUUGUUGGAAGAGGGGAAGAGAGCAGGACUGGGAAAUCAGAGAAGUGCUGUUCUGAAAUACUUGACCUUGAUGAGUUUCUAAAGCCAUAAGACAUCUCAAUUUCAAACACCACUGAUUCUUCAUCCAUUCAUCCUACUUGGAACUUGUGCAUUCACAGGCAAGGCCGUACAUACAUUCAGAGAAUCACAGGAUCAUAGAAUGGUUUGAGUCGGAAGGAACCUUUGAAGGUCGUCAGGUCUCACUCCCUGCAAUGAAUGGAGCAGCUCCCAGCUCCACCAGGUGCUCACAGCCCUGUUCUCUGACUGUGGGUGUCUCCAGGGAUGGGACAUCUACCACCUCUUUGGGCAACGUGUGCCAGUGCUUCAUCGCCCUUAUUGUAAGCCUUUUUUUCCUUAUAUCUAGCCUCCUGGAGUUGCACACUGAGAAUUAGCAUUCCUUUGGUACGUGCUGGGGGAUGGUAUUUGGGUGUUGAGCAGGAGAGGUGCUGGAUGCAGUGGACAGCAUGAAACCUGCCUGUGUGCUUUACUUCUCUGGUGCAGCUCAGGAGGUGCUGCCACCACCUUGCAGCUGGUCAGGGGGAUGGGGGUCACAGGGCUCCAAAUGAGAAAGAGAGCUGUGAGGAGUUGUGUGCGUGCUCCCUGGGGCUCUCCUCAGAGAUGCAGGGACCAAGGCCCAUUGUGCUUCCUGGCCUGCUGGAGCACAGCUCAGGCUUUCGUCAUCAGAGGCCAAGAAGUGCCUUCCUCCCCUCCUCCUCCUGUGCUGAUGUAGCAUCCAGCCACUGUAGCACUGUAUGGGGACCUGCCCUGCAGGUCCUGUACCCCUUCUGCUUAGAGCUGGGGGGUGUUUGCUGCCCCAGAUACCUGCAGGCUGCCUGGUACCAGAUUCUUAAUGCACAGAUGAGCCUUCCACAGUGUAAUUACCUUUCCCUCUGCUUCUUUGGGUAUCAAGCGGAGAGGAGACACUUAAGAGAAUCCUUGACCUUCAUCGGUCUGUCAUGAAUCAUUAACCUGGAAGAUGGAUGGGGAGGAGAUGCUGCAGCAGGGCAGUGCAGCUCUUGCAUUUCUGACUAUCUCUAAUUCAGCUGCUGUUCUGCUCUUUCUUUCUAGCAGUCUAACAUCAUUCCAUGUGGUGGAAGCGUAGCAAAGGUCAGCUCUCCCAUAUAUCUCUUCAGCUGAGCAAUCCCUGCCCUUUAUCCUUGCACAUUUGCAUAAUGUGUGCAUAACGGCGGUGCAAAGUUCUGCCUUCUCCCUUCAGGACUUUUGUAACUGUGUUUGUUACGUGGUCAGCUCCUUUAAAGAAAUAGUGGUGUACAAAUGUGCAACCCUCAGAAAGCACUGACAACAAGAGAUAGCAUUGAGGAGCUUUAUGUUUCAUCAUUGAUAGUCAUUAUUACUUUCCAGCAGUUACAGCUAUUCAAUUUGCUUUUAGUUUGUAGAGGCUCUUUCCCUGCCACAUCCUUUCCCUGAGUCCCUGAGUGCUGCCUGCUGCCCUGGGCGCAGCUGUGUGGGACCAAAACUUCCCUGAGCGGACAGAAAGUGCUUCUUGUGCAAUUCGGUGCAGUUCGGUUUGUGGAGAGCUGCCUUCCUGCAGAAGCUUUUCAACAACAAACCCAGUUCCAGAGCAGUGUUUGGGUGGGUUCCUUUUGCUGCUGCAGUCUCUUCCUCCUCAGUUUGAACUGCUGCUCAGGGACAUCCACGAACCAACCCCCUCUCCCCCCGAACUCCUCUCCUAUGCCGGGCAGCUGUGUGAGAAGAGCCACAUCUGCAGCAAAGGUCUGCACACCCUCAGCCCCCAGGCUGGAUGUGUCCCAUUGCAGAGCUGUGCCUUGAAAUACGUGGCGCGAUGUGACAUACAGUGUAUGUGCCUCCAAGUACAUGCAACCGCUGCACGUGUGAGAGGAGAUCUUAGCAUAAAUGAAAGAAUGGUGUUCAACAUUUCUGUACAUGUGACACACGCAGCACAGCCUGGAUGUGAAAGCUUUUGGAGAUGCACAGAAACAGACAGAAGGAGAAACUGAGAAGGAGAUAAGGAACACAGAGGUGUCAGAACUGUGGAUCCUCCAGCAGUGGGAUUAAUAAUGAAUCCCCUGCUCCUGAUCUGGGAAUGGAGUACAGCUGCUGCUGACAGCAAUACAUCUUGAAAAGAAAAGAGGUUUUCUAUUGAUUUCCUCCUUGACAAUUACAUGUAGUAAAAUGUAGCCACUAAUCAGCUGAACCAGGAAAUGUGCACUUGGCCAAAAAUCAGGGAAAGAUGAAUUCUAACGUUAGUUCUAUAGAGACGUUUUUCAAGGAACAAAGCAUCAGUUUUUUGCAUCCAGUCAAGAGUUUCAGUGAGUGACACGGGCACAAGGUGGUGCUGGAAGGCACCUGGCAUGUGGGGGCUGUCUGCAAAUGAGAUGGAUUCCCGUGGCAGGGGCUGCUGGAGCAAGGGCUGAGGGGAGCACAGCUGUCCCCAGCUGUCCCCAGCUGUCCCCAGCUCACCUGGGUGCUCCUCAGCACCUCCCUUCUGCUGUGGGAACCGCAGCACCACAGGGAUGGCUCUGGGAGCACUGUGUCACCUCCAGCUCUUCCGCUUGUAACACCGCAUUCUGCUUAACUCCUUCUGCACUGCUGCCAUAGUGUGAGUGGCUUAAUUGAUUGUGUCAUUAGCAACCCCAGUUGAGGUUUUAAGAUGAGAUACUGUAGAGAUUGAAUAGCUACUCCUAAAGCAGCAGAGCAUUCUAAGGCAGGAUUAUGAUGAAUGAAAACACAAGUUUUUAUGUACCAAAGUGUAUUCAGAAAAUGUGAAAGAGGAAAAGAAAUGACUGAAGGAAUCUUUAGUUUAAAAGAAUACUAGAGAAAUCUGUAAAUCUCAACUCUGCACACCAAAAAGCUCACACCAGAAAGAGCAUGGCAAGUGGUGGUGACAAAAUUUGAUGUCUCACUGGAAAUGCACUUGUGAAGGCCCAGGAGAAGGUCCCAACCUGGCGGCCUCCUGCUGUUCUCUGCUUCUCAGGGCCUCUCUGCUGCUUCGAUGAUGGCAGGGGAUGCAGGGUGAUGGGGAAAGAUAAAGGGUAAUGGGAAAGGAUGGAGGGUGGUGACGGGGAAUGCAGGGUGGUGGCAGGGAGUGUGGAGUGUUGGGAUCUCAGGAGGGGAACUCAGAGCAGAAAACCAAAACUGGUCCUCACCACACAAACGUCACCUUGGCGUGAAGCCUGUCUAUGCUUCUGCAGCCAUGAAGUUGAGGUGCACCCUCGUUUGGAGUUCUCCAGUCUGAAGCACUGAAAAUAAAACACUUGCACGGCCACCAUCCCACUGGAGAGCAGCAGCUGAGACAGCACCUUGGCCUUACCAAUAAGAACCAAGUGAAGUAUCCUGCAGUUACUGAUGCCAGUGCUUACCAUCCCCAGAAAGUGUAUGGGCAUUCAGCAGCAGAGUCAUGGUGAGAGCAGCACUGUCUGCCAGUCCCAGCAUGUAGUGCAGCACUGUGCCAUGUCUGAUCACCCUGUAACAGUGAGAAACACCCAGAGCUGGAUGCUGAUGUCCAUUGUUUGUAACGUGCCCAAGUGUUUACAUGAUGUAAUUAUUUGAAAAUAACAUUGAUUUAAAAAAACACUGCCUUCUUGGAACACAACAUUAAAAAAAGAAGAAGAAAAGGAGGUUUAACAAGUGCAUUAAUCUGAGGUCACUUGGCAGGGAAGAGUCACUAUUGAUGUAUUCAACAACAAAAAAAAAACUCAUUAGACCAAAAUUCAGACUGAAAAUAAAAGAUGUUAGUUAAUGCAAAUGGCCUCAAGAAUCCAAACCCUGUGUAGAUAUAUCACGGACACGUGCAGUACUUUACAGAGAUCAGACUUUAAUGGAACCUCAGUCCUGGAUGUGCCCCACCACAGCUCCUG
ensembl:lncRNA